CCUACGGGGGGCAGCAGUGGGGAAUAUUGGACAAUGGGGGCAACCCUGAUCCAGCCAUGCCGCGUGUGUGAAGAAGGCCCUCGGGUUGUAAAGCACUUUCAGUGAGGAAGAACGCCUGGUGGUUAAUACCCAUCAGGAAAGACAUCACUCACAGAAGAAGCACCGGCUAACUCCGUGCCAGCAGCCGCGGUAAUACGGAGGGUGCGAGCGUUAAUCGGAAUUACUGGGCGUAAAGCGCGCGUAGGUGGCGUGAUAAGCCGGUUGUGAAAGCCCCGGGCUCAACCUGGGAACGGCAUCCGGAACUGUCAAGCUAGAGUGCAGGAGAGGAAGGUAGAAUUCCCGGUGUAGCGGUGAAAUGCGUAGAGAUCGGGAGGAAUACCAGUGGCGAAGGCGGCCUUCUGGACUGACACUGACACUGAGGUGCGAAAGCGUGGGUAGCAAACAGGAUUAGAUACCCGUGUAGUC
rnacentral:rRNA from 1 species